AUUGAACGCUGGCGGCAUGCUUUACACAUGCAAGUCGAACGGUAACAGGCCUUCGGGUGCUGACGAGUGGCGAACGGGUGAGUAAUGCAUCGGAACGUGCCCAGAGGUGGGGGAUAACGCAGCGAAAGCUGUGCUAAUACCGCAUGUGAUCUGAGGAUGAAAGCGGGGGACCAAGCAGCAAUGUUUGGCCUCGCGCCUUUGGAGCGGCCGAUGUCAGAUUAGGUAGUUGGUGGGGUAAAGGCCUACCAAGCCGACGAUCUGUAGCUGGUCUGAGAGGACGACCAGCCACUCUGGGACUGAGACACGGCCCAGACUCCUACGGGAGGCAGCAGUGGGGAAUUUUGGACAAUGGGCGCAAGCCUGAUCCAGCAAUGCCGCGUGCGGGAAGAAGGCCUUCGGGUUGUAAACCGCUUUUGUACGGAACGAAAAGGCUCUGGCUAAUACCUGGGGCUGAUGACGGUACCGUAAGAAUAAGCACCGGCUAACUACGUG
rnacentral:rRNA from 1 species